rnacentral:rRNA from 1 species
UACGUAGGGUGCAAGCGUUAAUCGGAAUUACUGGGCGUAAAGCGUGCGCAGGCGGUUUUGUAAGUCUGUCGUGAAAUCCCCGGGCUCAACCCUGGGAAUGGCGAUGGAGACUGCAAGGCUAGAGUUUGGCAGAGGGGGGUAGAAUUCCACGUGUAGCAGUGGAAAUGCGUAGAUAUGAUGGAGGAACACCGAUGGCGAAGGCAGCCCCCUGGGUCAAAACUGACGCUCAUGCACGAAAGCGUGGGGAGCAAACAGG